rnacentral:rRNA from 1 species
GAUGAACGCUGGCGGCGUGCUUAACACAUGCAAGUCGAACGGAAAGGCUCCUGCUUGCAGGGGUACUCGAGUGGCGAACGGGUGAGUAACACGUGGGUGAUCUGCCCAGCACUUCGGGGUAAGCCUGGGAAACUGGGUCUAAUACCGGAUAGGACGAUGGUUUGGAUGCCAUUGUGGAAAGUUUUUUCGGUGUGGGAUGAGCUCGCGGCCUAUCAGCUUGUUGGUGGGGUAAUGGCCUACCAAGGCGUCGACGGGUAGCCGGCCUGAGAGGGUGUACGGCCACAUUGGGACUGAGAUACGGCCCAGACUCCUACGGGAGGCAGCAGUGGGGAAUAUUGCACAAUGGGCGCAAGCCUGAUGCAGCGACGCCGCGUGGGGGAUGACGGCCUUCGGGUUGUAAACUCCUUUCGCUAGGGACGAAGCGCAAGUGACGGUACCUGGAGAAGAAGCACCGGCUAACUACGUG